GAUGAACGCUGGCGGCGUGCCUAAUACAUGCAAGUCGAGCGAACAGACGAGGAGCUUGCUCCUCUGACGUUAGCGGCGGACGGGUGAGUAACACGUGGAUAACCUACCUAUAAGACUGGGAUAACUUCGGGAAACCGGAGCUAAUACCGGAUAAUAUAUUGAACCGCAUGGUUCAAUAGUGAAAGACGGUUUUGCUGUCACUUAUAGAUGGAUCCGCGCCGCAUUAGCUAGUUGGUAAGGUAACGGCUUACCAAGGCAACGAUGCGUAGCCGACCUGAGAGGGUGAUCGGCCACACUGGAACUGAGACACGGUCCAGACUCCUACGGGAGGCAGCAGUAGGGAAUCUUCCGCAAAGGGCGAAAGCUUGACGGAGCAACGCCGCGUGAGUGAUGAAGGUCUUCGGAUCGUAAAACUCUGUUAUUAGGGAAGAACAAAUGUGUAGGUAACUAUGCACGUCUUGACGGUACCUAAUCAGAAAGCCACGGCUAACUACGUG
rnacentral:rRNA from 1 species